CGCAUUAUGCGGAACACAUGCGA
rnacentral:snRNA from 1 species